rnacentral:rRNA from 1 species
UACGUAGGGGGCAAGCGUUGUCCGGAUUUAUUGGGCGUAAAGAGCGUGUAGGCGGCCAGACAGGUCCGUUGUGAAAACUCGAGGCUCAACCUCGAGACGCCGAUGGAAACCGUUUGGCUAGAGUCCGGAAGAGGAGAGUGGAAUUCCUGGUGUAGCGGUGAAAUGCGCAGAUAUCAGGAGGAACACCAACGGCGAAGGCAGCUCGCUGGGACGGUACUGACACUGAGGCGCGAAAGCGUGGGGAGCGAACAGG